CAGGCCGGCUGGCGCGGGCGCGCUGACGUCACGACCACGUGCUGAACCUGCUGACAGAGGCGUUUCCGGAGCCGUCUAAGAGGGGAGUGUCUUCGGUGUUCUACAGCCGGCAGCUGAUGACACAGAAUAUUCCACACAAUCUACAAGGAGCUGAAACAGAGGAAUGGAUAAAAUACAGACACUGUUUUUAGAUUGGGAUAACCAAAGUCAUCUCCUAAGCUACCGUGGCACCAGCCCUUUUCCUCCAUAUUGGCAAGUGUGUCAUUGAAGGUGUAAGUUACUUGAGAUUAUUUCUACUUUCAACACUUACUGUGACUCUCUCCCCCAAAGAGGCUCUGCAGUCUUGAGAGAACAGCUCUUGCACUCCUUGCCAAGACUCCACCCUGGCUGCACUGUGCUCCUACUCUGUACACAUGGACAACAGAGGGAAAAGGGGCUCUCCUGACUCAGUUGUGCUGAACCAGCUCUCAGAUUAAUUACACUGUGAUUGCCCUGCUGUUUGCCUUUGUUGACUUUGAGAUUUUCUGUGUCUCCCCUUGGAAGGACCCAUCUUAACCCUGGGCAAAUAUCCUAUAUCUAAAUCUUGAGAUAAUAGUUUAAAAGGAUCAAGUGACUUUUACUUGAAUAAAGGUGGUAUUAAAGCAAAUCCCAGAGUGAAAUUACUCUGGACCAAUUACAUUUCUAUAUGGUUAGAGAGAAUAUAAAUAUUUCCUAUAAAUACAAAUCCCCACUUUGAUGCUUACUUUUAGGAUAUCUUUGGGUAAGUUAUAUAAACCUUUAUGUGCCUCAGCUGUGCCAUUAUGAGCCUCAUAGUGUUGUUCUGAAAUCAAAUCAAGUAAAAUUCAUAAAAAUGAUGGGAAUUAUGUCUUGCAUAGAAGUGCUCUAAAUUAUUUUCUAUCAUUCUUUAUGCUAAACAAUUUUAGGUUAUGCAAAGAUGUUUACACCAAUGCAAUACUUUUAAAAAUAAUAUCUUUUUAUAUUUUUGGACAACAUUUCAAGGUUCAAUAUAAUUUUCUGUUCAUAUUUGCGAUUGCCUUUUGUGAAAAACUUCUGUGUUUACAUAUACUUAUCUCACCCUUCUCUAGUGUAUAUCUGUUUCCCAUGCACAUGCCUGCUUCACCCUUCUUGGCUGGACAUCCAUCUGGGCUUCCUUCCCCUGCUCAUGUUGCAACCCACCGCACUGCACUGCAUCACUGCAUAGAAGUCCUCUCUACUCCAUUUUGGCCCUGAAACCAGGCCAUUUUCUGACUGCAUAAGGAAGCCCUCUUUGUCCUAUUUGGGAUUUGAUUCUCCUCAUUAGGCCUCUUCUCCCCACUUCUAUCACUACCUUUCUUUAUCCACCUCAUGGUUUUGGUACUGAUUGUUCAGGAAGGGAAAGGGCUAAUAGAAGGAGGAGCUCCUUGGAGGACUCUGGCUGCAAGAAUAGUUGUCAGCAAAUGGAAUGUUAACGGUUGAAGUCACUCAUGCCCUAUGUCUUUGGUUACAACUCCUCCCUCCUAUGAUCAUCAGUACCCUAUUCUUCACAACCCCAGGGACUGCAGCGAGUGAGAAACAUCCAUCAACCUGCAGACUCUCAUCUCUUGAUUCAUUUUUUUUUUCUCUCUGAUACCUGGGGAUUUCCCCUUUAUUUCAUUUUUGAAUGUCUCCAUACAUCUAAAGUUUUUGGUUAUAUCUAACCAACCUGGGUAUUUGUAAUCAGAAAUGUUUAUCUAUAUCAGUUUAGACCUCUAUAUCACCAAACAUUCCUUUGAUUCAAUUUUUAAAUAUUUUUCUAUCAGAUUUCUGUGAUCACUUUCUGAACUGCCAGAUGUUUCUUUUUAGUAUUUAUCAAAAAUCCUUCCAACAGAUACUAUUUUUAGUGUAGUUAACAUAAAACCAAUUUAGCUUGAAGCUUAAAAUGAAAAAGUGCCAUGUGUAAUAUUAAUAGCAUGCUUCUAAUUAGCAUUUGUAAGACAGUACAGGAUAAUACUGUGAAGUAUUAAAAUAACAGGAGGGUUCUCAUCUUUAUAUUCAGUUUUUUUUUUCUAGGCACAGUCACCAGAGGCAGGAGGAACUAGACACUAAAGAAAGAGGAAUUGAAGUCCUGAUGUUUAAGUUUCAAAAUCUGCAGUGUAAAGUUAAGGGAGAAGAAGAAGCAGCUAUAUUCUGUAACAGCUGCUUACUCCUCCUAAGAGAAAGAAGAUAAAUCUCUUUGUGACUAGAUAUUUGAAAGGCAGUGGCCACUGAAAGCGAUGAACCUACCCUCCACAUGAAACAGUACCCUCUUUCACAAGUGUAAGCCACAAGGUGGCCACGUUGGACCCUGUGGAGCUUCCAACCACGUGACUAUCACAACUCCUCUGUGCUGAGUUCUCUAACUGUGCUUCUGGAUGCUGUUGUAAGGACAAUAUCAAUUCUUCUUUCCAUGGUCCAUAGUCACUGGCCUUUACCCUCUAACCAGAAGAGUAGAGCUUUGUGUCCUGCAUACAUUUGUCAAGAUUGUAUACCCAACAAGGAAGCCAUACCUAAGGAUAUACUGUGCACCUGGUAUAUACUUUCAUUAGUUGGGGAAUGUGUGCAAUUUUGUUAUAACUUUGUUUUUUCCAAAUAUAAAUGGUUUGUUAUGAUAUGCAGAUACAGUAGUUAUUCUAACAAACUCUGCACAUGACAAGAAUUUUCAGACAAAUGAAAGAAAUGUCAUGUUCUAGAAGGGUUGAUGCUCAUUCUUUUCUGGAGGAACACUCAGUAAUUGAGGAUCUUUUUGAUAUAAUGUCUAAAUAAGGAAAUUUUGCUGCUUUCCCCCAUUUGUAUUCUGAUUGUUGAGUAUCUUAAAAAUUUAAACUGAUAGUUCAGUAUUAGUGUAAACAAUAAUCUGAUAUUUUGUAUUUUAAUUUAUAUUAUUGCCAUUAGCUUGACAUUGUCUCAUGUAAAUUUCUAAGUGCCUUCAUUAUUACAUGAUUCACUAUGUAAUAAUACAUAUACAUUUAUCAUUAAUAACUCACAAAGCAGGAAUUAGAUAUAAGUUCAGAAUUACAAAAAUGCUGGCUAGCUAGUUAUAGUAGCUAUUUAUUUUUAAUCUUUAAUUUCAUCAAUAUAAAAAUGGAUUUUGUUAAAAUUUAGUAUCUUGAUAUAGUUAAUUUUUAAAAGAUAAAUUUUAAGGUAAAACAUUGAUUAUUCUUUGAAGAAUGCUGUAUAAUAGUGAAAGAAUCUUAUAGUCUUUUUGUAUAGACUGCAGACCAACAGCAUUGGCAUCCCAAGUGUAUGUUAGAAUGCAGAAUCUCAGGUCUCAAAGCAAAAACAGCAUUUUGACAAGAUUUAAUGUGAUUUGUAUGCACAUUAAUGUUUAAGAAGCACAGUUCUAAAUAACACUCAUAAUUUAAAGAAUUAUAAAAAAGUGAUACAUAUAAAAUGAUGCCAAAAUUUGCAUUUGACAUUUAACAAUGAACAAAGUAAAGAAGUAUGGUAUUAGUGGUACCUUGUUAUAUGAGGAAUUUAAAAACUUGCCAUUGUUUUCUAAAAUGUAGUUUUAUUCCUGUUGAGAAGCUGCAGUAUAUUCACAGUAAUCAUUUAAAAAAUGUAUUUCUAAAUACUUUUGUAAUUUUCAGUAUUUGACUCUUUCAACAUCUGUUCUCAAUGGAGAAUGUCAUAUCUUGAGAUAACAAAUUAUUAAAAACUUAGUCAAUGAUG